CCAGGUGGGAAGGCUCGAGAUUGUGUGCUUGUUGGAGACCCCAAUCCGUAUUAGCUUCCUUUUGGACCAUGAAUGAAAGUUUCUGGAAGAUAACUUUGAUGGGUUUUGCAAUAAAUUUGAGGUGCCUGACUCUAAAAUGAGACAUAAAAAAUUCUGUAAUUUGAAGCAAGCAGAAAACAGUCUCACUGUUUUCAGAGCUGUUCCAAGAUUGUUGUAUUUACUUCAGCAAGAAACCUCAAGCGCAGAGCUGAAAACUGAAUGUGCAGUGGUGCUGGGAAGUCUUGCUCUGGGUACUGAAAACAAUGUCAAGUCUCUAGUGACUCGUAUAAUCCCAGCCUUACUGCAAGAACUACUGUCCCCAGACCUGAAGUUCACUGAAGCUUGUCUCCAAUGCCUGCAUACCAUUUUCUCCAGACUUGUCACUCCAAAGGAGCUACUGUAUACAGAUGCCACAGUGACACUGCACCUCAUGGCACUGCUUAGCAGGUUCCACUAUACCCAGGAGUACAUCUGUUGGAUUGUCUCACACUUCUGUAAAGGGCCAGAUCAUCAAACGAUUUUAUUUAGCCAUGGCGUAGUUCAGAACACUGCUCAGCUACUAACCUCACUGUUCUACAAAGUUCAAAUGCAAGCACUGAACUGUUUCUCAGUUUUACCAGCAGCAUCCUACAUCCUGGUAAAUGUUUUGGUUGAUGCAGAAUUGUUAUCACAGAUUUUUGUUAAGAUGUUACAGAGGGCUAAGUAUAUUGAGAUACAGCUUACAUCAGCAAAAUGUUUAACUUACAUGCAUACAGCUGGAACAAUUCAGACAGAUAACAACUGUAUUAAAGACAUUGCCUUGUUUGUGCAGUAAGAAGAGAUUACUAGAGGAGAGAGCUAAAGAAGCUGAGACACUUGCCUUUCUGACUGAACCAGAUAUUGAACUACAGAGAAUUGUCAGCAUAACUGCUCACCUCAUUGCCAUGUUUGCUGACUAUUUCCAGUAUCCCAACACACUGAGUGCCAUCACUGAUAUUAAAAGGCUUGAUCAUGAUUUAAAACAUGAGCAUGGAAUCUACCAGGCUGCAUUCAAGCUCUAUGACUCUCUUGGAGCAAAUGAUGAAGACAUUCAGAAGAAGAGCAUUGAGACUGAAAAAUAUGAUGGGCUGAAUUGUGGCUGGCUUGUCUGAGUCUAGUGUCAAGGUGCGGUUAGCUGCUGACAGAUGUUUGCACCCUUUAUCGAGAUCUGUGCAGCAGGUUCAAAACAGUUUCUAGGAUCACAUUGUCUGAAAACAUUUAAUGAAGGUUUUACAAAAUGCACCAGAUGAAAUCUUAGUGGUAGCAUUGUCCACAAUAUGUAAUCUUCUUGAAUUUUCUCCAAGAAGAGCCAAUUUUAAAAUCAGGAGUUGUAGAGCUACUUUGUGGAUUAACCCAGAGUAAAAGUCCUGCUUUACAAGUGAAUUGAAUUUGGACUUUAAUGAAUAUGGCAUUUCAUGUUGAACAAAAAGUAAAAGCAAACAUUUUACAAAGCUUGAAUACUGAACAGAUAUUCUGGAUGUUAUCAGAUUCAGAAUUGAAUGUGCUGAUGAAGACACUGGGACUUCCUAAAAAUCUCCUCUUGACCUGGCCUCAUCCAGAUAAAGUAAUGAGUACUCAUGGAAAGUAAACUAGGCAAGCUGUCACCUUGUUCUGGAAGGGGAACAUAACUUUAAGGUCAAAGAGUAGAUACUGUGCAUCUUAGUCAACACAGCAGAUGAGACAACAGCAAAAGAACUGAUUAUGACCAAUGAUGAUAUCCUUCAAAAAAUCAAAUAUUACAUGGACCAGUCACAUAUCAAACUGAAGCUUCCAGCUAUGUUUUGUAUAUCAAACCUCAUAUGGAAUGAAGAAGAAUGUUCACAAGAAUGUCAGGAUAAAUUAUGAGACAUAGGCAUCAUAGAUACUCUACACAAACUGAGUUAGCCACGAGAUUCAAACCUUUGUGACAAGGCAAAGAUGGCACUGCAGCAGUACCUGCCAUGAUGGGAGUGCCCUUAGGCACUAGCAAGUAUCCUGCAUCCUUGUUUAAGAAA